CUCCUCAUGGGGAGGCCUUUCUUUCCUCUGGGUGGGAGGCAACUGGGAGAGGGGGGCACUCAAGCCCAAGGUCAGAGGCCAGAGGCAUUCUCCCUACCCACGGAACUGCAUCCCCCCCCCAGUCCUGACCACUAGGCUACCUUGCUUCUCCCCUCCUCCUUUGCCCUGUCUCCCCACAGGCAGCCCUGCCUGUGACCUCCUCACCCAUUCAUUCACCAAAUAUUUACUGUGUGUGCACCAUGAGCCAGCUUCAUUCCGGGCACUUGGGGCAAUUCUCAAGGACAGUGAAGCAGCCCAGACCCCAAUCCCGAGGGAGUUUAUGGUCUGGAAACAAAUGGAUAUAAAUCUGAAUGAUCCAAAACACACAAAGAGAGCAGACAGGGCUUCACUGUAUUUUAAACAUGAAUCCUCAAAAU